CCUACGGGUGGCAGCAGUGAGGAAUAUUGGUCAAUGGGCGGAAGCAUGAACCAGCCAAGUCGCGUGAGGGAAUAAGGCCCUACGGGUCGUAAACCUCUUUUGCCGGGGAGCAAGGGCCGGGACGAGUCCCGGUCCGGAGAGUACCCGGAGAAAAAGCAUCGGCUAACUCCGUGCCAGCAGCCGCGGUAAUACGGAGGAUGCGAGCGUUAUCCGGAUUUAUUGGGCGUAAAGCGCUCGUAGGCGGUAUGUCAAGUCAAGGGUGAAAUCCCCGCGCUCAACGUGGGAACUGCCUUUGAAACUGGCAAACUGGAGUGUGUGAGAGGAUGGUGGAAUUCCAGGUGUAGGAGUGAAAUGCGUAGAUAUCUGGAGGAACAUCAGUGGCGAAGGCGACUAUCUGGCACAUAACUGACGCUGAGGAGCGAAAGCGUGGGUAGCAAACAGGAUUAGAUACCCCAGUAGUC
rnacentral:rRNA from 1 species